GGAGGAUUAGGCUAACGGUAAGUCAGCGGUCUUGAAAACCGUCGCCCUUGUGGCUUGGGGGUUCGAAUCCCUCAUCCUCCGCAA
rnacentral:tRNA from 1 species